rnacentral:misc_RNA from 1 species
GAUGAAGAACGUAGCGAAAUGCGAUACUUGGUGUGAAUUGCAGAAUCCCGUGAACCAUCGAGUUUUUGAACGCAAGUUGCGCCCGAAGCCAUUAGGCCGAGGGCACGCCUGCCUGGGCGUCACACGUCGUUGCCCCCCCAUCUACUCCUUCGGGAUUGCGGGGGGCGGAUGAUGGCCUCCCGUGCGCCUCGUCGCGCGGUUGGCAUAAAUGCCAAGUCCUCGGCGACGCACGCCACGACAAUCGGUGGUUGCGAAACCUCGGUUGCCCGUCGUGUGCGGUCGUCGCGCAUCGAGGGCUCGAAAAAAUUGCCGGGCUCCGACUCGGCUUUCAACGCGACCCCAGGUCAGGCGGGGUUACCCGCUGAAUUUAAGCAUAUCAAUAAGCGGAGGA